UGGGAGAUUAGUGUUAAGCUGAAAUCACA
rnacentral:piRNA from 1 species